ensembl:miRNA microRNA 34b
GUGCUCGGUUUGUAGGCAGUGUAAUUAGCUGAUUGUACUCUGCGGUUUGCAAUCACUAACUCCACUGCCAUCAAAACAAGGCAC